CAUGCAAGUCGAACGAUGAUGCCCAGCUUGCUGGGUGGAUUAGUGGCGAACGGGUGAGUAACACGUGAGUAACCUGCCCCUGACUCUGGGAUAAGCGUUGGAAACGACGUCUAAUACUGGAUACGACUGCCGGCCGCAUGGUCUGGUGGUGGAAAGAUUUUUUGGUUGGGGAUGGACUCGCGGCCUAUCAGCUUGUUGGUGAGGUAAUGGCUCACCAAGGCGACGACGGGUAGCCGGCCUGAGAGGGUGACCGGCCACACUGGGACUGAGACACGGCCCAGACUCCUACGGGAGGCAGCAGUGGGGAAUAUUGCACAAUGGGCGAAAGCCUGAUGCAGCAACGCCGCGUGAGGGAUGACGGCCUUCGGGUUGUAAACCUCUUUUAGUAGGGAAGAAGCGAAAGUGACGGUACCUGC
rnacentral:rRNA from 1 species